rnacentral:tRNA from 1 species
GCCUGGGUGGCUCAGCCAGUUAAGCACCUGACUUCGGCUCAGGUCAUGAUCUUGUGGUUUGUGGGUUCAAACCCCCGUCGGGCU